ACGCUCGACACCUACGGGGCAGCAGUAGGGAAUAUUGCGCAAUGGGGGAAACCCUGACGCAGCAACGCCGCGUGGAGGAUGACACUUUUCGGAGCGUAAACUCCUUUUCUUAGGGAAGAAUUCUGACGGUACCUAAGGAAUAAGCACCGGCUAACUCCGUGCCAGCAGCCGCGGUAAUCUGAGCGGGCUGGCAAGGC
rnacentral:rRNA from 1 species